rnacentral:rRNA from 1 species
UACGUAGGUGGCAAGCGAUACUCGGAAUCACUAGGCGUAAAGCGCAGGUAGGCGGUUCGGUAAGUCUUUUGUGAAAGCUCCCGGCUCAACUGGGAGAGGCCAAGGGAAACUACCGGACUAGAGUGUGGUAGGGGAUACUGGAAUUCCUGGUGUAGCGGUGAAAUGCGUAGAUAUCAGGAGGAAUACCUAUGGCGAAAGCAGGUAUCUGGGCCAUCACCGACGCUGAGCUGCGAAAGCUAGGGGAGCAAACAGG